ensembl:lncRNA
GGGCUCCUCUGUGGUUCACGUAUGAUUUAUAUAUACACACGUAUAUGAAUGUAUACACUCCAUCCUAGUCACAUUCAGGAAAAAAAAAAGGGGAGUGAAGCCUGGCCUGAAGCACCGAACCGUUGCUAGUGAUGAGCUUCUGAAAUUAGGACACUUUCGUCAGUGCAUUCGCCUCCAGAACAGAAAAACAAAAGUUUAAAACUAAAAGAUACAGUGGUUGAUUAUAAAAUAGAUAUACUCCCCAAAAGACUAUAAAAUCAAAGCUUCACAAUUAAUCCUCUGAUGCUGUUCUGCUUUCCAACCCUCGUCUUUUUUCCAUUUUCACGGCCAGCUGUUUAAGAUUGACAUCACAAAGCUGCUGAGGAAAACGGUUACAACCGUUCACUUAAUCGAAGCCGAAACGCCGCCGGGUUGACUCCACCCCCGGACGACGCGGUCACCCACGCCGAGGGGAGGCCCCACUAGAGGAAUCCGGCUGGGGCUAGACCCCAACCGGGUGACGCGGGGGAGGCGCUCACCGCCCGCGCUGGGGCGUUUCCGCAGGGCUUCCCGCGAUUCACAAUCUACGGCUCACGCUUCGCCACGUCCCCCUCAGGAGAAUGUCAGGAACUGCGAGGGAAGGAAACGUCAAAAGUGCUCACGCGGCGAAAUUAAAGGUUGGAACGCCGAGGGGACGCCCGGCCCCGCCGCCCCCGCGGGCUAACAGACUGCGUACGGCCUAGCGCCCGCUUCGGGCCGCUCUUCGCCUGCAGACGCCCCGGCGCCCUCGCGCGGCAUGACGCGAUCCCGGCCGGCGCGCUGUCGUCACUGCGCGUCGGCGUGGGCCCUGCGCGGGCGGGGGGCUUUGUGAGCACCGGAGACGAGCUGUCCGGCUUCUUAUUCUGUCGGCGUAGCAGCUCUCGGGGCUGUGGAGGAUCCAGACUGCCGCGCCGUUUCCGCGUUUGCUACGCCGGCCCAGCGAUUUACAGCCCUGAAGAGUCUACUUUUUCCCCCUCAUUUUUCCCCCUGCAGUAAUAAAUCCUAUUAUGGAGACUCAGAAACUUUAUAAAGGGAUAUAGUUUGAAUUCUGUGGAGUGUAAUUUUGUGUAUGAAUUAUACUUUUAAAAUAUGAAGGGUUUUCAGAAAGAAGGCUAGUAGAGUUAAUUACUGGUUUAUUAUGCAUGAGCAGUAAUUUUGUUGGUAAUACAGUACCUUAGGCAUUUGUGAUAACACUAGAAAGGACAAGCUGUACCUUGAUAAAUUGAUUUACCUUUAAUUACAAAAUGAAUGAUAUUAUAGAUGCAUGAUUCUUAAAUGAAAGACAAGUUAUUUAAUAUUUUUGUAAGAAGUUUCAAGUGUGGAAAUUUUAUGGUUAACUAGUUUAUGGAGAAAAUACCUUCAUUUGAUCAAGUAUACUAAAGUGGUAGGCAAAGUUAGGAAGAAAGACAACAUAAUAAUGAUGCUGCAGGAAAUGGAAACAAAUACAGACAAUAUUUAACAAAGACAGAAGAGUUAGCAGUUUGUGAGUUUUAAGCAAAAUUCAUUUCAUUUGACAUUGUACGCAGUAUAACAGGUUUAGGUUCAACAACACUUGUAGGUGUUGACAUCUCCAAAAGUUGUUAGCUGAAGCUAGUUUAACCUUCUUAAGUAAAUACUAUGAUGAUAAACUUUGUGAAAUUGGCCUUUAGAUAAUGUGACCAUAUGAAGACUUUAAUUCUUCUUGUUUACUAGAAUAAAAGAAGAUUAAAAAAAAAUAUGUUAAAGUGCUCAUAGGGAAAGAAGCCUGCAUAUAGUUUUUUCCUCUUGUAGCAUAGUCAUUAAUUGGCUUGAUAUCCUGGCUUUGUAGCUUGUAACCGAAAGCAAAUUAAAGGCAUAAUUUAGGUAUUCUAUCCUUGUUUAGAAUUUUUGGAAUAUAAACCUCCUUGAAAAGUCAAGGAGUCUUAGCAUAUUUUUGGAGGUGUGUCAGCUUCUUUCAGGCUAUUAGGUCAGUAUUACACCAAAUAACGAGCAAAUAACAUUUGAGUUAAUAUAAUCCCAGAGAGUAUUAAAUAGUAUCUUCAUAAUUUAGGAGAGAUAUUCAUCCUACC